rnacentral:rRNA from 1 species
GACGAACGCUGGCGGCGUGCCUAAUACAUGCAAGUCGAACGCAAUCUUUUAACAAUGAGUGCUUGCACUCAGCGUUUUAAGUGCGAGUGGCGAACGGGUGAGUAACACGUGGGCAAUCUGCCCAAAAGUGGGGGAUAACACUUGGAAACAGGUGCUAAUACCGCAUCAACCGGCUGACCGCAUGGUCGGCCGGGCAAAGACGGCGUCAGCUGUCGCUUUUGGAUGAGCCCGCGGCGUAUUAACUAGUUGGUAAGGUAACGGCUUACCAAGGUGAUGAUACGUAGCCGAACUGAGAGGUUGAUCGGCCACAUUGGGACUGAGACACGGCCCAAACUCCUACGGGAGGCAGCAGUAGGGAAUCUUCCACAAUGGACGCAAGUCUGAUGGAGCAACGCCGCGUGUAUGAAGAAGGUCUUCGGAUCGUAAAAUACUGUUGUCAGAGAAGAACACGUGAUAGAGUAACUGCUAUGACGCUGACGGUAUCUGACCAGCAAGUCACGGCUAACUAC